UAUGGCAUAAUCUCGCAUUUGGGGCUCACAUACAGUGUAUUAGUUACACAACUAACAGCCUCGGGAAGGUCUGAGAAAACCCGAUAACGUUCUAGCAGGAUGCUUGUAUUUGGCAAGGCGAGAACACCAGAAAUACGCGAAAAAGUUUUUUAGCCAAGGAUUGACUUUGCGCAUAGGCGAUGGAACUUUUCCGUUGGAAUUUUUUGUGGGUAGCGAUUUUAGUUUAAUUUGCGAGCUAGAGCGUUACUAGAACUCAAUUCAGACUAAUCUGUGCCAUA
rnacentral:RNase_P_RNA from 15 species